rnacentral:tRNA from 1 species
GAGAUUAUAGCUCAGUGGUAGAGUGCAUGCCUAGCACACACAAGGUCCUGGGAUCAAUUCCCAGUAUCUCC